GAAGUCCUACGGGGGGGCAGCAGUAGGGAAUCUUCCACAAUGGACGAAAGUCUGAUGGGGCAACGCCGCGUGAGUGAAGAAGGGUUUCGGCUCGUAAAGCUCUGUUGGUAGUGAAGAAAGAUAGAGGUAGUAACUGGCCUUUAUUUGACGGUAAUUACUUAGAAAGUCACGGCUAACUACGUGCCAGCAGCCGCGGUAAUACGUAGGUGGCAAGCGGUGUCCGGAUUUAUUGGGCGUAAAGCGAGUGCAGGCGGGUC
rnacentral:rRNA from 1 species